rnacentral:rRNA from 1 species
GUGAGGAAUAUUGGUCAAUGGGCGGGAGCCUGAACCAGCCAAGUCGCGUGAAGGAAGAAGGAUCUAUGGUUCGUAAACUUCUUUUGCAGGGGAAUAAAGUGCAGGACGUGUCCUGUUUUGUAUGUACCCUGAGAAUAAGGAUCGGCUAACUCCGUGCCAGCAGCCGCGGUAAUACGGAGGAUCCGAGCGUUAUCCGGAUUUAUUGGGUUUAAAGGGUGCGUAGGUGGUUUGAUAAGUCAGCGGUGAAAGUUUGCAGCUUAACUGUAAAAAUGCCGUUGAAACUGUCGGACUUGAGUGUAAAUGAGGUAGGCGGAGUGCGUGGUGUAGCGGUGAAAUGCAUAGAUAUCACGCAGAACUCCGAUUGCGAAGGCAGCUUACUAAGCUACAACUGACACUGAAGCACGAAAGCGUGGGGAUCAAACAGGAUUAGAAACCCGUGUAGUCC